CCCUUCCCCAAUCUCUCUCUUUCAGUUUCAAUGCCGAUGAAUUUCGCUACCUUCUCCACGCCGUUUUCUGUCGUUGCUCGUUAAAGCUCGUCAGCGUCGUCGCCGCCGCUGCUACCUCUUCUUCUCGUCGCCGUUGGUUCAGGGUUUUAUUACAGUGACAGAUAUGGCAAGCUUUCUGUGAACGAACUCCCUUCAUUCUUCUCUUCUUUGUUUCUUCCCUAUGACUGUCUUCUCCUAUGGAGGAUUACUUUUUAUACAUUGAUGAUCAAAAAUCCUGAUAAGUGCAUGCUUUGAACAAACUGCCUUAUUCUAAGCUUUCUUCGAAGUCUGUUGGAGUCAAGGAUGGGGUUGUUUUCUCAACUUACAUUAGCCUCAUAGCAUCCUCUGAUAAGGGUCAAUCUCGUCUCAAACAACUUGUGCAGUGGUGUGGGCCAAAGUUUGAUGGUCUUAUAAUAUUCGAUGAGUGUCACAAAGCGAAAAACCUGAUGCCGGAAGCUAAAGGUGGUAUGCAGCCAACACAAACUGGCAAAGCAGUGCUUGAUAUGCCGGAAGCUUGGUAUUUUCUUCAAUUUCAACACUCAAGAGCAUCAGCUAUAAGCACAUUAAUUGUGAAGCCUUACUGAUCUUCUGUUGCUUGUUUAUUGACAGCUACUAAGUUGGUGCCUAUGGAUUUUACUAAGUUGGUAAAUUAAUUUGGUAUAAGAAAAUAUGCAUGCGCUUUUCAGUCAAAUAAUGAGCCUUUCAACCUUUAAAUCCUUAUGGUUAUUUGUUAACAUUCUCUUAAAAUGCUGAUUCUCUUAUGCAUUCUUGUUGUUCUGUCAAGCAAGGCAUCUGAAGCGGUUGAGUAUCAUUAUGUGAAUGCAAGUGAUCUCAACUUGUUGGAGGCACAUGAAGCUGAAGCGUCCUUAGCUGGAAGGGGUGCCUACACUCUUAUGGUGGGACUCACCCUUAUUCAAACUGCUGCCGCUAAUAAUUCGUGCCAAGUAGGGCUGUGCUACUCAUCCAAGAAGCAUUGCAGAGAGGGUUAGAAGAACUAAAAUUAGUGAGAGAAUGAGGAAACUACAGGAUCUCGUCCCUAACAUGGACAAGCAAACAAACACGGCAGACAUGUUGGACUUGGCUGUUGAUUACGUCAAAGAACUUCAAAACCAAGUUGAGACUCUUUCGGACAGUCAAGCCAAGUGUACGUGUGCACACAAGAAGCAGCAAUAACGAGAAGAGAAGAGAAGAGAAGAGGGAAGGGAUAGUGAGAUAUGAGAUAUGUGAGAGACACAAUCUCUGUACAGAUUUGUAAUAAUUUGGCCUAAACAACAUCAUCAUAAGAGAGCACCUUUCUCUCUUAUUACUACUAAGAGUUCACAUUUGAGGCUCCAAAUUUUAUGAUCAUGAUGAUGAUAAUGCCACAUAAGCAAAAUCCAAAGGGAAAUUUGUGUUUUGGGGGAUUGAGAUUACAUGCAUGAUGAUGCAUCUUCAUUAUCGUGGGACCAAUGAAUGCAGGAACGUCAAGAUCGGGUGUUCAUUGGCAUUGGCAUGGCAAGCAUGCAUGCAUGCAUGGGGGGACCAACUUCGCAUCACAUGACAUGGUUUCAAUUUCUUGGUUCAUCAUACACUACUUAGCUUGUAAUGAGAGAGAUACCACCCUCCUCCUCCCUUCUUAUGUGAUGUGAUGAGAGAAUAAAGAUUAAUGUACCUCCAGAUACCAUGUUUGUUUAUUGUUACUACUACUACUACUUCCUUGGAGUUUAAUGGAUAAGGAAGCUUGCAGACAAGAUUGCAGCUUCUGGUUACUAUGUGGUUGUUCGGGGCUUCUUUUAUGGUGAACCCUAUGAUCCUCAGAAUACUAAUAGACCUUUAGGAGAGUGGCUAAAAGAUCAUGGAACGUUCCUGCUGCGAUUCGAUCCUCUGCUGAUUGGAAGAACACUAGGAAGAACAAGAAGUGCAGAAGGAGGAACACUGAAAAAAGCAGCAUAACAUGUCACCAUAAACAUGCUGCUUCUUCUUCUUCUUCUUCUUUUCAGGAUGUAUGGUGUGGCCCUGGAAUUGGAUUCGCAUCAGAUCAUGCUUCUGCUUCUGUGGAUUGUGUGGUGGCAAGGAAGAAUGCUUCUGUGGAUUCUGUGCAUUACAUGUUCCAAAUCUGCUAUUGCUAUUUGGCAGCGUCCAUGAUCUUUAAAAAGAACUAACCCUGAGAAAUCUAUGGAAGAGUUCCAAAUUGUUGCAGGCAGAUACUUGAAAUUUAAUCAAAAGUAACUGCAGUGGUAAUAAUUUCUUUUUGGUUCUUUUUUCUAAUAACUGUAGUGUAGAUCGGAUACAGUAAGGUAGACAUCCUCUGCUCAGAAAGUGAGAAGCAGCGAAUAAUUUUGAUGGACCAAGAAUCUCAAGAAGCAAGUAUAUUGCCAUCAUCACUAAGAAGUUCAAGAAAGAAUGAAGCUAUCCAUAUAUUAGGAUAUUGAAUCUUGAUGAGUCCACUAGUAGUUAUUUGUCAUCUAAUGUAUUUAGAUUGUAUUAUUGUAUGGAAAUAAUUGCUUCUUAUUAUAAAGAAAGCGUUUUGUACUCA